rnacentral:misc_RNA from 1 species
CAGCAUCUAAAAUGAUGUUUUUAUUCAAGAAAACAGUUAAAACCUUUCUAACACAAUGUCAAAUGGACACUAUAUUAGUUAAGAGUGACCAAGAAUCAGAAAUAAUCUCACAUCUGAACCCUCACCUUCAUAUCAAUCCACCCUACAGAUCUGCCAUCUCUAGGGCGCAUAAUAUAUGCUCCGAUGACAGCGCUUCCACCCCAUUCAGAUAAUGCCUGAAAAUUACUUCAUCUCUGCCAGAAAAUCCGCUUUGAAGAGCAGGCGUACUCACAGCUUUACUGACCUUAUUCCAAUUUCCAGAGUAUCCACAUAUGGCACAAUCAUCAUGCUUGAAGAAUUGUAUAUCAUGUAAUUCAAUUCUCAGUUACAUUUGAGGAAAAAAAAUGUAACAAAAAAAUAAGGCACAAAAUUAACAAAAUGCAAGAGCUACAAAAGAUGGGCUGAUGCAGGGUCCUCGAUGGCUCCCAUAAGCAAUGCUGCUGUCAACCAGUUAAAACCGUAAUGAUACAUUUCUGCUACAUUUUCUUAACCCUUUCCUCAACUUUUUUAUUUCUUUUUUCUUGGUUCUUGUUUUUUUUUUUUCUUUUUCUCAUUUUUUUCCCCUUCAUUUUUCUGGCUUUCAACUACUUUUGUCUUCCAUUUCUUCUCAUAUACAGAUACAAGAAUAAUUUGAUGACUACAACUUGGAUGGAUUUUGCAUUAUGUCAAAAAAGUCCUACACGUCUAGUCUUUUGGCUCAAUAGAUCACUACUCGAAGCAGCCCUGGCUGUGGUUCAGUGUAGUCAAGGCCCUCUUCCUCAAGUAGGUAUUGCUGUACAGCAAUUGGAAGUCUUGCUGGAGUGCGAGAACCCCUGGUGAUAUGACCUGUUCCAACACAUAUAUAAACCUGCAAAUGCUGUUCUGCUGCCCGGGCUGUGCUCCUCAGAACACUUACUUCAUGCUUUAGCACAUGAAUGGCUUCACUUACAUGCAGACCAUGAAGGUCUAUCAUCCGCUCAUGUCCCCUCCCCUCUGCCUGCAUCUCUGAACCAACUGGGUUCCUCAGGCGAUAAAUAGAUCCCUGUGCCUUCCCAUGGGCUGCUUUCAUAUGCAUAUUGUGCAGCUGCCCUUUCACACUCAAUUCCUUUGCUAGAGCCUUAUUUCCAAUGAUGUACGCUUGCUGUGCCUGUUCGGAGAUAUAAAAAAAUUUAAUCUAUUAAAUUCUUAAUUUAGUAACACCAUCACAUCACUUGACCAUUAAAUAGUUUGAAGGUUGGGAGCAGACUCACAUGUAUGGUUCAGAUCGGCAGUCAGCACAAAUGCUAGUGCAAAUUUGCGCAUGUGACCUAAUUGGAAAUGACUACAGCAGUGGCAAAUAUCAUGAAGAGCAUGCUUAUCAGCUUAAUACAUGCUCAUCGAGCAUGUUUUAGACUGAUAGCUUGCCUGCCAUGCAGUAAUGCAGCUUGUUCUAAAUUCAGUUAUUUACCAUUCUCAACCAGCAGCUUUACUGGCGAACUAAGAAGCUAGUGAAGUUCAAUUUUACUUAAGAGAAGGGUGUGUGCAAUGUAGAAGUCAAUUUACACAAAUUCAGAUCGCUCAGCUUAUAUGAACCAUCAAAUUUACACAAACUACCUAGAGGCAAGUACCCUGUAUGCAACCUUAUGAUUCCAAACAUCAAUUCAAGGUUAUUUUAUCAUAAAAUAUCUUCAGGGAAGGGUCAAAAGGACAAAAAGUCAAAACAGCAUACUCCUUACAAAUUUUAAAAAUUACCCGUUCAAAGUAGGCAUUCCGUAAUCGCGCAUGAUCACGAGCUUCUUCCCGCAACUCAGAAUACAUAUUUGCUGCCAUCCAACAAUGUUAAAGCAAAUAUAUAUGCAGAAGGCAUUUGUCCCACAAAUAAAAGGUGCAUAAAUGCAAGUAGCUUUGUUGGAUGAGGAACAUUACCCACGGCCUCUCCAGUUUCAAGCCAGACAGGAGCUGCUCGAGCUGAACCACGAUUUUCCACCCUAUCUGCGAAAAUACCUCUCCCAUUCCCACUACCAUAUGAGCUAGCUAAAACAUGAGAACUUCUGCUUGAGCCAACUGUGGAAUCAGCAGAACCAUUUUUGUCAUACUUCCACAUGCCAGAAUCCUGAGAUGCCAACUUCCUGACAGCUGAAGCAAAAUCUAUUGCACCACCUCUAGAUGGGAUGGAAGAACUGGACUUGAAUAAAAGCAUGUUCUCUUUAUUAGAAGAUCGAUACGGAUUGCCAUUCUGCUGAAGAUCAUCUCCAGCAUAUUUUGAAGGACCAUUCUGACUAUCUUGCACAGGAAGUGUGGGAAAGUCCAGGGCACUCGAGCUGGGAGCUGAAAAUGCCUUUGAGUUCAUAUUCUGAUUGAAACCACCAUCGACUUGAAGCUACAAUUUACAACAAUAUCCACAGUAAAUAUUUUUAAUACAAAGGGCGUAGAAAUGUAAAUAGAAAGACAAAUAAAAUUACUAACUACACAGUCAACAACCAUGAAAGUUGUACAUUCUAAUGUAAUGCGACUCUUAAGACCAAGUGCCUUCCUACACAUCAAACCCCAAUGCAUACAACUAUUAACGCAGACGUUUCAACAAAAAAAAAAUGUUAAAAAAAAUCAAAAGAAAGAACCAAAACAGAAUCACUAACCCCUAGUUACCAGGCCACAAUGUCUUACGAAUUGGAGGCUACACAUAAAGACUACAGUCGGACUGAAUCAUCUCAAAUAUUUUAGGGAAGCCAGCUCUACCCUGCCAAAAUAAGGCAUAAGAGGCAUUGCUCACCACAAUUAGCAUCCAACCCAACACAAUCACCCAUUGCAAUUCUAUAGAUUUUUAGAUUGUAGCAAUAGAAUUGUUUCUUGCUGUAUUAUUACAAAAGCCGAAGGUAGGAGGAAUCUAAAUCAAAUGGAGAUGGUAAACUACAUAGGAAUUGGAUGAGUUAUGUAGAAAGUUAUUGUGAUUAAGCAAAAAUAAAUAGAUCAUUUUCAGCCUUCAGAGAUUACUCUAUUGAAUACUACCUUCAUAAAUCCUAAGAAUGCUAAGCUCCUUAUUUCUCCAAAACUAAUUUUCUAUGGUUUAAUUCUUGAAGAAAGCAAUAAUAGCCUGCAUAAUGAUGAGCAAAUUUCCCACAGUCCGAUAAUCAAUAGCCAGGAAAACCACUGAACACCUGAAGAUUUGAACAGCAGACACAAUUAAAAGGAAUUCAUAAAUUUGACAGCAAUACUUCAUUGCCUUAGGCCGCAACAUAAAUACAAGCAUGUCAGACUAAAGGCAAACUUACUUUCAAAUAAAGGAGUUUACCUCUAGUUGAGUAAGCAUCUCAAUAGUGAGAUUUAAAUCGCAUCCAUUAGCAAAAUAAACUUCUGCAAGACUUUCAGCAGCAAACCCAGGGAAUUGUGAAGCCAAAAACUCCACAGGGUUCAUGUCAGUAUCAUCAACUAUCGCAUGCACACCUAACACAUCAUUCAUAAAUCCGGGUCUUGAAUUCCCAUUGUAAGGAUGUACCUCCCUACCAUUAACAAGAAGCUGAUCACUGCUAACGAAUUGCUUGUCCCAAGGCUUAGUAGGCAAAUUCAAAUAACUAGCUGAAGUUGGAUCUUCUCCAUAAGAACUAGCAACAUGUCUCAUCUUUUCACCGAAGCUACCAUUUAUAUGUCGAGGAGAUGGUUCCUGUUGCUCAGGCAAUACGUAUCCACUGCCCAAAGAAACAGGGAACUUUGUCACUUCACUGCUGUCAUGUAAAGACAAGCCUGCUAAAGAGAUCCCUCCAAGUGCUUGAGGCUCAUCUUCACUCAUGACGUUAAAGUCAGGGGUGAUAUCAUCAGGAAGCUGGUGGUGCCAGAAUUGAUGGCCCUCAUCAUCAGAAGCAUUAGAAACAGAUGACUCCGAUCGGUCAAGCACCGCUUUCCCUAUGGUCCCAGAAGCAGGAAAUCUUGCAGCAGCAGCUACUGUGUUUGACUUACUUCCAGAUGGUGAAGAUGAUGAUCUGAGGGAAAAGGGAACAAAUUCUGCUGCAUUGGGAUUCAAAGCCGUUGCCUUUGUAUUGUUGGUUUGAGACCCUUUCUUGGACAAGUUCAUUUCUAUGCCAAAAUAGAAACAAAAAGCUCUACAUGCAUAUACAAACACUGACACAAAGAAUAACCUUGAGUAGCAGGAGGCUUUAUCCAAAACCUUUGCGAACCAAAUCAAAUGGAUCCAUAGCAGAAGAUAAGAGUCGAGAUCGGAGAAGACUCAGAGAGAAGAGAAAGAGUGAGAGGGCAAAGAGAUGACAGUGAAGCUUAUCUAGUAUCUGGGAUAUCGAGCUAAGGUGCAGUAUUAUUGUCUCUCUGUAAAGGAAAGCUUUCUCUGAGGUACAGUAUGUGUGGAUUGUAAAAUUUGUGCUUCUUUCUUAGCUCGCUGUGAGGGUGUUGUUCCAGAAACCCUUUCUGGCUAUACAGGCACCGCACCACCACCACAAAAAUAUAGAACGAGGCACCCAACACCUCCCACUAGAUUUGACCCCCACCUAUUCACUCUAAUUAAUUGUUAAUUAGUAAAUUAAUUAAUUGUUUAUUAAUUAAUUAAUCAAUCAAUUGCGUUAUCGUUGGGGUUAGACCCAGUUACGGGGACCGAUUUUAGAUUAGAAUCACCUGUUCAGUUGUUCUUAAUGUUUG